GUUCCUGCACCAAGCACACUGAUUAAGGAUGGUUGGAUAAUUGAGUGCAGUGACUACCACGUUGGCUGCAGCCAAACCUUCAGGAUUGAUGAGCUCUUGUAUCAUGAGAAGUCGGAAUUUCAAGAUAUUGUUGUCAUCAAAAACACUCUGUGGUUUUAACUUCAAACGGAAGUGUAACAACCAUGUGAAAAAUGCUGCAAUCUGAUAGGGCGCCACUAUAGUGGCGGCAGAACAAAUUUAAGAUAAUAAGCUUGCAACCCGACCUCUCGUCCUAACGGAGUCGGGCUACGCCCAACUACACAAUAAUUGAGUUGUUUGGCACAAUGUUGUUCCUGGAUGGAGCCAUACAGCUCUCUGAGAGAGACGAGUGUGCCUACCAUGAGAGCAUUGUGCACUUACCACUCCUCAGUCAUCCUAACCCUAAAUCAGUGUUGGUAGUUGGUGGUGGUGAUGGUGGGGUGCUGAGAGAAGUAGCAAAGCACUCUACAGUAGAGGAAAUUCAUCUCUGUGAAAUUGAUGAGAAAGUGAUUGAAGUAUCUAAGAAAUACCUACCAAUGACAGCUGUAGGAUUCUCUGAUCCCAGAGUCAAAGUGCACAUUCAAGAUGGGAAUGUGUUUUUGGAAGAUAACAAGGGCAAGUUCGAUGUGAUCAUCACCGACUCUUCAGACUCCUCUGGUCUGGCUUCUGUCCUAUUUGAGAAACCGUACCACCAGAAGAUGAAGGAAGCCUUGAAACCAGGAGGCAUUAUAUGCAGUCAAGCUGAUGAAGUAUCGUGGACUGAGCAACAAGGUCGUUUUAGUCCUCCAUGCAUCACCAAGUUGUUGGAAGUUUGCAGGACUCUGUUUCCAGUUACUGCUACUGCUACGUCCAAUGUUCCAACCUUUCCUUGUGGACUGUGUACCUUUGUAAUGGCCAGUACCAACAAGGACACAGUGUUUGAGAGACCUCUGAGGAAACUGACUGAACGGGAGGCUGAAGACAUGAACCUCCAGUACUAUGACAGCGAGCUGCAUGCAGGAGCAUUUGUGCAUCCACGAUUUGCCCGGAAGGCAACUUUGGCAGUGGGAGUGGCUAGCUGUGGAUGGAGUGGGCAGUGGGUGCACGAGACUGACUAGCUACCACGUGGCAUUAUUUUAUCAAAGAAGCUGAGAGAUCACUGUGUCUGGUUAUUGGAGGAGUUUUGGCAUUCAGACUGGCUAGGCUGUGAAAGAAGUGAUUCAUCAUACUGGUCUUUCAGAUGGCUUGUCGUAUAUCCUAGCUCACAACAGCCUUACCUACCUGCACAUUUCCUGCCCUAGCUUGUGCUGCAGUUGGUGUUUGUGUUAACAGGGAAACGUUCAUUUGGUAGUUGGUAGUGCCAAUGGUAUUUUUCGCGAAAAAUAAGAAGCGGCACUUUUGAAGGAGAUAAAAGAGGAAAUCUUUUUUCUAAUACCUUCAGGGUUUCCACGGUUAUAAUGCAGGGUGCUGAAUGGUAGCAAAACGCUGAACACCUAACAUUUGAGGAAAUAUGAAAUUGAUGAGCACAUGUAGAAUGCAGUGUCAGCAAAAAAAAGACCGUCCCUCAAAUGGCUGACAUAAGCAAUAAUGACUUAUUUAGGAGCUCGGCCGUAUAGGCAGUGAGCAAAAACUGAGGAGGGAGGUUGAUCUGAAAGAAGUAUGCAACUAACAGUGGCCUAACUAUUGAAGUUGAUAUACUAACCUGUUGUAUAACUAACUGUUGGUGGACUAUACUAUGCUAUUGCACUCUGAGUGUGUAACAACUGUCUCUGUUUUGUGGGUCAGAUUGUAGUAGGGAUGAGUGCUAGAAAAACCUGCUGAGCUAACUGCUGUGUCCGUGAUCACAUUUCAUUGACUCAAUUUUAGUUUAGCCGUACACUGAUUUGCCCUAAAUGUGUUUUGUUAUCAGGGAAACAUCCUUUCUCAGAUUGGUGAUGAUAGAGUCUUGAGAGAAGUGGCAAAGCACUCCACAGUCAAGGGAAUUCACCUCCGUGAGAUUAAUGAGAUUGGAUUGGUGAUGGUAGAGUCCUGAGAGAAGUGGCAAAGCACUCCACAGUCGAGGAAAUUCACCUCCGUGAGAUUAACGAGGUCAAAGUUCACAUCUGGGACGGUACCAGUUUCUCAACAUCCACAAAUACCAUUUUUUGGCUGAACAAUUGUCAAGAAGGCACUGGAAGUCAAACGCAAGAUUGCUGACUUGAACGUUCUUUAUCGUGCUAAACUCUUCAAUGUAUGCAAUGUUGAUAUCAACACUAAUAGUAUAGUCUAGUAAUGUAUUGAAAACUUGUCACGAAUUUUAAAUAUCAACCCCAGUCAAAAUUUA